rnacentral:rRNA from 1 species
ACUCCUACGGGAGGCAGCAGUGGGGAAUCUUAGACAAUGGGGGAAACCCUGAUCUAGCCAUGCCGCGUGGACGAUGAAGGCCUUAGGGUUGUAAAGUCCUUUCAGCUGGGAAGAUAAUGACGGUACCAGCAGAAGAAGCCCCGGCUAACUCCGUGCCAGCAGCCGCGGUAAUACGGAGGAUCCAAGCGUUAUCCGGAAUCAUUGGGUUUAAAGGGUCCGUAGGUGGAUGAUUAAGUCAGAGGUGAAAUCCUGCAGCUCAACUGUAGAAUUGCCUUUGAUACUGGUUGUCUUGAAUUAUUGUGAAGUAGUUAGAAUAUGUGGUGUAGCGGUGAAAUGCAUAGAUAUCACAUAGAAUACCGAUUGCGAAGGCAGAUUACUAACAAUACAUUGACACUGAUGGACGAAAGCGUGGGGAGCG